rnacentral:rRNA from 1 species
UGGCGACCGGCGCACGGGUGAGUAACACGUAUCCAACCUGCCGAUGACUCGGGGAUAGCCUUUCGAAAAGAAAGAUUAAUACCCGAUGGCAUAGUUCUUCCGCAUGGUAGAACUAUUAAAGAAUUUCGGUCAUCGAUGGGGAUGCGUUCCAUUAGCUUGUUGGCGGGGUAACGGCCCACCAAGGCAUCGAUGGAUAGGGGUUCUGAGAGGAAGGUCCCCCACAUUGGAACUGAGACACGGUCCAAACUCCUACGGGAGGCAGCAG